rnacentral:tRNA from 1 species
CGGGCCGUAGCUCAGCGGUCGAGAGCGCCCGGCUGUAGACAGCCCCCUGGGGGACAUUCCCCUAAACCCCCAGGGCCUGUAACGGGCGGUCCCGGGUUCGAAUCCCGGCGGCCCGA